CCUACGGGAGGCAGCAGUGGGGAAUAUUGGGCAAUGGGCGCAAGCCUGACCCAGCAACGCCGCGUGAAGGAAGAAGGCUUUCGGGUUGUAAACUUCUUUUCUGGGGGACGAACAAAUGACGGUACCACAGGAAUAAGCCACGGCUAACUACGUGCCAGCAGCCGCGGUAAUACGUAGGUGGCAAGCGUUAUCCGGAGUUAGUGGGUGUAAAGGGCGUGUAGGCGGGAAUGCAAGUCAGAUGUGAAAACUCAGGGCUCAACCCUGAGCCUGCAUUUGAAACUGUGUUUCUUGAGUGCUGGAGAGGGAAGUGGAAUUCCGGGUGUAGCGGUGAAAUGCGUAGAUAUACGGAGGAACACCAGUGGCGAAGGCGGAUUGCUGGACAGUAACUGACGCUGAGGCGCGAAAGCGUGGGGAGCAAACAGGAUUAGAUACCCGAGUAGUC
rnacentral:rRNA from 1 species